GGCUCAGGAUGAACGCUGGCGGUAUGCCUUACACAUGCAAGUCGUACGAGAGUUUUUAACUCAAGUGGCGGAUGGGUGAGUAACACGUAAGAAUUUACCUUUGGGAGGGGGAUAACAACUAGAAAUGGUUGCUAAUACCCCAUAUGCUUUAAGACAGUAAAAUGGAUUUUCCGCCUAAAGAGAAGCUUGCGGCUGAUUAGCUUGUUGGUGAGGUAAUGGCUUACCAAGGCGACGAUCAGUAUCUGGUUUGAGAGGAUGAUCAGACACACUGGAACUGAGACACGGUCCAGACUCCUACGGGAGGCAGCAGUGGGGAAUUUUCCGCAAUGGGCGAAAGCCUGACGGAGCAAUACCGCGUGGGGGAUGACUGCCUAUGGGUUGUAAACCUCUUUUUUCAGGGAGGAAUUAAUGACGUGUACCUGAAGAAUAAGCAUCGGCUAACUCCGUGCCAGCAGCCGCGGUAAGACGGAGGAUGCAAGUGUUAUCCGGAAUCACUGGGCGUAAAGCGUCUGUAGGUGGUAAAACAAGUCAACUGUUAAAUCUGGAAGCUCAACUUCCAAAUAGCAGUCGAAACUAUUUAACUAGAGUAUAGUAGGGGUAAAGGGAAUUUCCAGUGGAGCGGUGAAAUGCGUAGAGAUUGGAAAGAACACCAAUGGCGAAGGCACUUUACUGGGCUAUUACUGACACUGAGAGACGAAAGCUAGGGUAGCAAAUGGGAUUAGAUACCCCAGUAGUCCUAGCCGUAAACGAUGGGUACUAGAUGUUGAACAGAUCGACCUGUGCAGUAUCAAAGCUAACGCGUUAAGUAUCCCGCCUGGGAAGUAUGCUCGCAAGAGUGAAACUC
rnacentral:rRNA from 1 species